rnacentral:ribozyme from 14 species
UACAUGCCGGCAGAAAUAAAUACAACCAUACAAACAAACAACAGAAUAUUUAAUAACACUCUUUGCCUCUUUCCUUUUCUUCCUUCUGCUAUUGUUGAUUGUUGUACACCUUCCUCUUCU